rnacentral:lncRNA from 1 species
UGUGUUUUAGACAUAUUAGUCCUAACUCUGAAUAACAUACCAAGAUAAAUAAACCUCCAAAACACAUGACAAGUUCACUACAUAAAGACAACCCCAAACACAGAAGAGAAAUUCAUGUUGCAACGAUAACCCCGAACACAUAAGAGAAACACUACAUCAUAUACUCAAACUCAAACACAUGUUACCACGUCUCUUCUUCUUAAGUCAUCCACACAAAGACCCCUUUCCAUAACCAUUUCAUAUCAUAGCUUUCAAUUAUUUCUUCAUUCCCAAGCAAUACAAUCUCAUCCGUUUUACCACUCGUCUCUCCUUCUUCCAUCUUCUCAAGCCUUAUUUUUUUUUUCCUCAAUCAUACUCUUUCACAUCGACAUCGUCUCUGCUUCGUGACUCUCGCCAUCUCCCUCUCGCCAUCUCUGCUUCGUCACUCUCUCUCUCUCUGUUCUUCGUCACUCUCUCUGGCUUCGUCUCUCUCUCCAAUUUUCGUCAUCGUCGUCUUCUCUCUCUCUGUUCUUGGUCGUCUGUCUCUCUGUUCUACAUCGUCCCUCUCUCUUCUUAUGUUCUUCGUCGUGUCUGUAACUGAGAAAUAAUCAGACCAAAACCUAAUUUUAA